AUGAUCUUAAUCAGUGUCCCAUUUCAGCCGCAGUUGCCUCAUUCACCAGAAAAACGGAAACUAUCAGAAAAUGCCAGACGCGUCUUUGACGGCGUUGAAAUCAAGCAUAGAAACAGAAGUGUCUCUAGUUUUGAUGAUGGAUUUGGAUAUACAUUUUUGUUAUUGAUUGAAUGGAAAGCACCCGCCAGCUCUCUGACGCCAUACGAGGAAACCAGGGGUAAAUCAUAUUAUUGCGAUGAUGCGGAGAUGAAGGAUAAUCGUUGA
rnacentral:lncRNA from 1 species